AGCAACCGGUUCGGAUCCAAGCGUGGGUGGCAACUCGCGGGAGCAGCUGCCCCCGCCCCGCUCCGGCCACCCGUGUCAACCCGACUAUUGAACCAGGGCGGAGAGGUUGCGGUUGGGAGUGGCUCGCGCACCCGGAAGCGCCGCCCACGUGCUCCGCUCUCCUGCACGAGCGGAAGGCGCCUCGCGUCUCCUGUACUGCCCGUGCAGUACACAGGAGAGAGAGUGAGAGCACCCCAACACACACACACACACAGAGACACUUUGACGUACUUUGCCGCGGCAGGACUACGCUGCUGCUACUGCCGCUGCUGCCGCUACAACUUGCAAGCGGCGGCGGUCGCAGAUGCAGGAGGCACGGCGAUGACGUGGACUCUCUGGGGGGAUGCAGGAGCUCCAUCGCCAGUGCGCGGAGAGCCGCCGCUUCCGUAGGGCCUCGCGCCGAGCUCCACGCAUGGCGUCCGCCUCCAUCCGCACGAGGGGCGCGCCACGCAGGCCGUAGCCAGGCAUGGACGCGGCGGGCGACGCCGGGAGGGCGGGACGCCGCGGCGUUCAGAGGGCGGCUCGGCAGCCGCGGAGGAGCCCAGCGGGUGAACAGACGGCUGGACGACGAUCGCGGAGUCCGAGCAGAUGUCGGCCGAAGAGCAGGAAGGCCGAGGCUGUCGGGGCUGGGAGUAGCAAAGGCGGCGGCGGGCCGAAGGCGUCGGCCCCCGUCGUUGCCACGUGCGCCCCACCGCGGGGUCGAAGAGGGACUCGUCGUGGAGAGACGCGCCCCGGGCGGCGUUCGCGGGGUGCCCUGGCGCGGGAGGUCGCCGCUGCCGGUGAGGCGGCCGCCGGUGGGCUCCGCAACGCCGCCUCGGCGCCCACGGUGGCCGAAGGACAGAGAGGGCGGGCGUGCCUCGGCCUCGAGAGCUCUCGCCGCUCGCCCCCGAGCGACGCUUCCGCGGCUGCGGGGAAUGCCGUGCCCAGCGCGCCCUCGGAAGUGUCGGUGGCGCUUCAAGAGGAGGGUUGGGACGCGCUUGGUGGCACGGUUGGGGCAGGGUCGUGCACGCUGCCUCCCAGCCCUGCACUGGGAGAGCCGAGGAAAGAGGAGGACCGUAGCAGCAGCAGCAGUGAGGAGGAGGAGGAGAAGCCUCUGCCCAGUCUCUACGCCAGCCCAGGUUUCUUCCAGCCGAAGAAGGAUGACUUAGUGUGGUGCAAGUAUCAGCGAUGUCCCUACUUCCCUGCCGUGGUAAAACGGGUAUCCAAGGAUAAGGGCCGCUGGAGGUGCGUGGUGCUGUUCUUCAGCUUGAAGAUGCAGUCGAGCGCGGAGAAGCUGAAUGCAAUCGGGGUCACGGUGAAACACAUCAAGCCCUUCAACUGCCGAGAAAAAUAUGACCUGAUUGCAGAGGCAAAGAAGUCCUACCCGAGGGAGAUGGAUCUCUACCUGGAGCUCAUAACGGACUACUGGAGCAAGACAGUUUCAGGCUCUGGCAUGGGGAAAACCUUCAUUGAAUACUGCAAGUCUGAGCAGAGUGCCCCCGUUUGGCACGGGAUCUCCUCCUCGCCGGCGGAACCCUUCCGCGACGUCCCGGAGGCCGAGACGGCGGCGGAAGACGACGAACGGCGCCCGGACGGCGACGGACGUCGCGGUGCCGAAAGCCCGAGCGCGGCGAGCGUCGAGAAGCGCCUCCUCCCGGACCGCCAGAAGAUCCUGCGGCGGCGCUGCAACGAGCGCCUCCUGCACGCGAUCGUGCGGAGGGGCGUGGCGGAGCGCCACCUGCGCCGGCUCCUCCGCGGCGCCGUGCCCUCGCCGCGGCUGCUCGAGUUCCGGCGGCGGCGGCGGUGGCCGAGCGAGUGGCACGCGGCGCUGUACCUGGAGGACGACGCGCACGUCGAGCGUCUGACGCUGUACCUGCGCGAGUUGUACGAGCGCGCGCGAGCGGAGUGCGCCGCCGAGGGUCGCGCCGCCGCCGCCGCCUUCCACGAGGUGGACGCCUUUGACCUCUCGCAGUUCAUCCUCGACGUCCUCCUGCCCGAGGCGAUCACGUACGCGUUGAUGGCGACGGAGGACAUCACUUGGGAACAGGCUCGGAUCAAGUUUCUGAACGGGCCGAAGUGCAGUCGAAGAGUGGAGCCAGGCCCAGGGCUGCUCGAAAGCCCUGGCCAAAACAGACAGAGGCCUGAAGAUGUUGCUUGAACGUCGGGGUGCAUUUGGUGUUGCGGAUGUGCCAAGGGAUUAGAGAGUUCCACACGGAGGGGGCGACAGCAGAGAACCGACGGAGAUUGAGCUGUUUAACAAGGAGUUUAUGAAAGGAAAAGACAACUGAUCCUGAAGAUGUACGCUGGGUGGAAUGGACCUGGCACAAGACUAUCCUUUUUUUAAUCAAAUGGAUAGCCAAGUGCCCGCUGCUGUAUCCUGUGACAGCCACACUUUUACUAUAUGUGUACUCGGGAUGAGCUUUAAAUUCGAACGUCAUAUUUUAGGAUUUUCAAGGAUAAUUUUAGAUCUGCUAUUAAGGUUAUGAAUUGAAUUCCGUUUCACACUAAUGUAAAAUGUCUCCACGGUAAGAAUGACGACGUCACCCUCCCGUCUUGUGACAACACUUUGUAUCGUGAAAAGCGCGUUUGGGUUUUGGCACGAUUUUGGAUUAAGCCGUUGGCAUUGUCGCACCGUACCAGCACGGACCUCCUCUCCUCCCCUAGGGGGUACUGGAAGUGCCGAAGGGCCCAAGCGGACUGCUGCCCUGAGCCAGCUCCUUCCAGUUCGGCCAGAAUCCCCUGUCCCCCAACCCCAGGUAGCUCGCAUCGAUCACUAGGAUCGCCCCUGGAGGGGGGGGGGGAGAUCCCCCCAUGAGAUGGGACUGCGCCAUCCGCCAGCCCCCGAAGCGGUGAUUUGGAGCUGAGGACACUUCGAAUGGCUCGCACCUUCGGCAGCCGUGGAAAUCUCCCCCUGGGGAGCCGCCGCUGCAAAGUCUCGAUCCUCCAGAACAACGGGGGAGCGUAGAGGAGUGACAAGUCGGGGUGUCUGGUCGAGGAUGGUGACCUUAAAGGGCCACAUGGGGGACCCUUCCUCCCAGACUUCCACGGAAGGAAUGAGCCCGAGUGCUUGCUAUUCGGUGAUACCGCUUUGCCAGUGGUGCACAAAAAAAUUACAAAUACCUAAACGUCACUUGUCACCUAUUUUUUU